rnacentral:rRNA from 2 species
GGACUACUAGGGUUUCUAAUCCCGUUCGCUCCCCUGGCUUUCGCGCCUCAGCGUCAGAAGAGGUCCAGCGCGUCGCUUUCGCCACCGGCGUUCCUUCCGAUAUCUACGCAUUUCACCGCUCCACCGGAAGUUCCACACGCCCCUACCUCCCUCGAGACCGGCAGUAUCCAAGGCAAUUCCACGGUUGAGCCGUGGGAUUUCACCCCGGACUUGCCGGCCCGCCUACGCGCCCUUUAAGCCCAGUGAAUCCGAACAACGUUCGCACGGUUCGUCUUACCGCGGCUGCUGGCAC